GAAGGAUGAGGAGGUUUCUUGGGGUUAGGAAUAGGAAAUCUCGCGGGAAGUAGCUAUAGAGACCGAACCGCUUCCCCUCACAGUUGACAACAGAACGGAGGAGUAAGGCGUCAGGAGCGCUUUCCUAGGAGUUUGAGGAAGGGCUCUUGACACGAAGCGCUUGGGAGACGUGAAUACCUGACUUGCACCAGAGUAAGGAACCCUUUCCUGGGAGACUCCUACUUGUUUCCGACGGCUCCGAGCUUCUCACAGGAAUCCCAGGAGGUUAGAGGGCAUAUGUUGUGAAGAAUGCUAUAUUCUUUUCUGAAUAAGCAAGUGUCCAUUAAUUAGCAUAAAUGGGAGUUAUGGCCAUUAAAGAAGUUAUCUGAAGUCCAUUAUUUCUACAGGCUCUUUUGUGUAACCUGUGCAGACAAGAAGACAUCUUCCUAUCAAUGUAUCAACUGGAUUAUCAACUUCAGAAAACAUAAUAAAAAUGAGAUUAAAGACAUCUCUUUUAAAGGAACCAAAACAUAUCCUUUGUUCAACUUUGAAACAAUGUUAUAGGCACAUUUCUCAAGGCUUGUAGCAAUGUGAUUAAAAAACCCAUAAAUAUUUCAGAAUAGAAUGGGUUGUAUCCAAUGGUUGGGCAAA